AAGGGAGAGUAAUGCAUGGUUAGCUACCCCCGGGACUGGGAUAGCGGCGGGAAACUGCCGGUAAUACCAGAUGACAUCUUCGGAUCAAAGGUGUGAAUCCGCCCGAGGAGGCGACCAUGUCCUAUCAGCUUGUUGGCGGGGUAACGGCCCACCAAGGCAAAGACGGGUAAGGGGCGUGAGAGCGUGCCCCCACUCACUGGGACUGAGACACUGCCCAGACACCUACGGGUGGCUGCAGCCGAGAAUCUUCGGCAAUGGGCGCAAGCCUGACCGAGCGACGCCGCGUGCGGGAUGAAGGCCUUCGGGUUGUAAACCGCUGUCGUAGGGGAGGAAGCAACCGUGAAGAACGGAAGUUGACCGAUCCUAGGAGGAAGGGCCGGCUAUCUCGUGCCAGCAGCCGCGGUAAUACGAGAGGCCCAAACGUUAUUCGGAUUUACUGGGCUUAAAGAGUUCGUAGGCGGCGCAGAAAGUAGGGUGUGAAAGCCCUCGGCUCAACCGAGGAAUUGCGCCCUAAACUACUGUGCUUGAGGAAGCUAGAGGUGAGCAGAACUGAUGGUGGAGCGGUGAAAUGCGUUGA
rnacentral:rRNA from 1 species